rnacentral:rRNA from 1 species
UACAGAGGGGGCAAGCGUUAUUCGGAAUUAUUGGGCGUAAAGGGCGCGUAGGCGGCUUGGCAAGUGGAAGGUGAAAUCCCUCGGCUUAACCGAGGAACUGCCCUCCAAACUGCUUUGCUUGAGGCCGGGAGAGGUGAGUGGAAUUCCCAGUGUAGCGGUGAAAUGCGUAGAUAUUGGGAGGAACACCAGUGGCGAAGGCGGCUUACUGGACCGGAACUGACGCUGAGGCGCGAAAGCGUGGGGAGCAAACAGG